GGGGGGGGGGGGCUAUACAUGCAAGUCGAGCGAACAGAAGGGAGCUUGCUCCCGGAUGUUAGCGGCGGACGGGUGAGUAACACGUGGGUAACCUGCCUGUAAGACUGGGAUAACUCCGGGAAACCGGAGCUAAUACCGGAUAGUUCCUUGAACCGCAUGGUUCAAGGAUGAAAGACGGUUUCGGCUGUCACUUACAGAUGGACCCGCGGCGCAUUAGCUAGUUGGUGGGGUWAUGGCUCACCAAGGCGACGAUGCKUAGCCGACCUGARAGGGUGAUCGGCCACACUGGGAYUGAGACACGGCCCAGAMUCCUACGGGAGGCAGCAGUAGGGAAUCUUCCGCAAUGGACGAAAGUCUGACGGAGCAACSCCGCSUGAGUGAUGAAGGUUUUCGGAUCGUAAAGCUCUGUUGUUAGGGAAGAACAAGUGCGAGAGUAACUGCUCGCACCUUGACGGUACCUAACCAGAAAGCCACGGCUAACUACGUGCCAGCAGCCGCGGUAAUACGUAGGUGGCAAGCGUUGUCCGGAAUUAUUGGGCGUAAAGGGCUCGCAGGCGGUUUCUUAAGUCUGAUGUGAAAGCCCCCGGCUCAACCGGGGAGGGUCAUUGGAAACUGGGAAACUUGAGUGCAGAAGAGGAGAGUGGAAUUCCACGUGUAGCGGUGAAAUGCGUAGAGAUGUGGAGGAACACCAGUGGCGAAGGCGACUCUCUGGUCUGUAACUGACGCUGAGGAGCGAAAGCGUGGGGAGCGAACAGGAUUAGAUACCCUGGUAGUCCACGCCGUAAACGAUGAGUGCUAAGUGUUAGGGGGUUUCCGCCCCUUAGUGCUGCAGCUAACGCAUUAAGCACUCCGCCUGGGGAGUACGGUCGCAAGACUGAAACUCAAAGGAAUUGACGGGGGCCCGCACAAGCGGUGGAGCAUGUGGUUUAAUUCGAAGCAACGCGAAGAACCUUACCAGGUCUUGACAUCCUCUGACAACCCUAGAGAUAGGGCUUUCCCUUCGGGGACAGAGUGACAGGUGGUGCAUGGUUGUCGUCAGCUCGUGUCGUGAGAUGUUGGGUUAAGUCCCGCAACGAGCGCAACCCUUGAUCUUAGUUGCCAGCAUUUAGUUGGGCACUCUAAGGUGACUGCCGGUGACAAACCGGAGGAAGGUGGGGAUGACGUCAAAUCAUCAUGCCCCUUAUGACCUGGGCUACACACGUGCUACAAUGGACAGAACAAAGGGYUGCRARACCGCMAGGKUUARCCAAUYCCAUAAAUCUGUUCUCAGUUCGGAUCGCAGUCUGCAACUCGACUGCGUGAAGCUGGAAUCGCUAGUAAUCGCGGAUCAGCAUGCCGCGGUGAAUACGUUCCCGGGCCUUGUACACACCGCCCGUCACACCACGAGAGUUUGUAACACCCGAAGUCGGUGAGGUAACCUUUAUGGAGCCAGCCGCCCGAAUG
rnacentral:rRNA from 1 species